UUUAUUGCCAGGCAUGUUUUCACAUUGGAGGAAUUUGUUUUAGUGCCAGAAGCCAGAAUCUCCACAGCUCCAACAGACUGACAUAUACAGUAUAGACGAAAUUGUAUGUACACAUUUACAGGUGGGAAGCUAGAGAGCAUCAGAAGAACCCCAAUCAGACAGUAACCUGAACUCAGGACUCAACCAAGGAUGCUGGAUCUGUAAGGCAGCAAACACUAUCUGCUGCACCCCCAUGCCACCCAUCACUCACCAGUCUUCCAUCUCCAGAACCCAGAUCUGCCAGACAGCCUCUUCUGCCUUGCAGGAGCUUCAUAAUGUUGUGUGUUUGCAUCCUGCUUGAGGGCAAGUACGGCACCUGCACAGUAGAGACAGGACUUAUGUCUCUGCCUGGUAUGUCUAAGAGUUAAUUGAGGAAGGUGGACAAGACAGAAUUUCAUAAGUACGCAUUCAGGUCACGGAGGAAGGUUAGGUGGACGUUUGCAUGAAAAAUACAUUAUUUUUAUACUUUUACAUUAUUAUACAUAGUACCAGCCCAAUGUUUGCAUGCAGUGUAGGGAACAUCGGUCUUGAAUUAAUGUAGGUUACCUACAUGUUGCAUAUAUGAAUUUUUGCUAUCUUGUUCAAAAUGAAUAUCAUCAUAUGCAUGAUGCACAUGCUAUAGAUCACAGCUCUUGAUCACAAAUGGAAACAAGACCAGAUGAAGAUACUGUAUUUAUUUGUUCUUCUGGUUCAAUUUAACCUUGAUUGAAACAUGAUUUAAGGAAUUACCUUUGACAUUUUUGUACUGAAUUGAAUGUAUUUCUAAAACUGCUGAUUUAACAACUUAUUUUUCAUUUUGAGCUAGAAAAAAAACAACAGUUUAUGUGGAAGGUUAUUCAAUACAGUUGGAUGAAAAUGGUCUAAAGUGUUCAAAGCUGCCAUCAAAUCUAUUCUGUAGAAUCCAAAUUUCCCCAAACUUUUGAUUGACAUGUUACCUUUAGACAUAUUGGCACUUUUCGAAAGCCAGGGAGAGCAAAAACUGUCCAAAGUCCGUAAGAGGCCAUAAGCAUUGCUCCAGAGGCAGCCAUGAAUAUCGGCUUAUCAUAAGCAUGAUGUAACUUUUUGUCCUGAAGUAUGAUGUCAAUAGAGUCUUCCAUGAUAAUCCAAGACCGAAAUGCUGAAACAGAGUUAAUGAACAUGAGUGCUAUUUUAGCAUUUCUUCAAUCUUUAAUGAAACUUACCAGUUCUCCCGUGAAUAAAAUAUGUGCCCAUUUAUUUUAUAUGCCUUGUGCAUAAAAAAUAAAGCUCUACUUAAUGGACCAUUGACAUUGGAAAAACUCACUGAGCCAUAUAAUCAAAUCUGCAGAUUUUCUCUGGCACCAUUCCAUAAAAAAACUUUUGUAGUUAUAAGAAAUUGAACAAACUGAAUCAUACUAUAAAACAUAAAAGCUAUGUUCACCUCUCGCUGUGGAUGAAUUUAAAUCCUCUCUCUUAAUUCAAGUCAUGAAGUUUUUAUUGUCAUUUCAACCAAAUAUAGCUGAUGCAGUACAGAGUGAAAUAAAACAAUGUUUCUCCUGGAAUCAUGAUGCUACAUAAAAUAACACAGAGCUACAUAAAGACAACACAGAGCUAAAUAAAAACAACACAUAGCUACAUAAAGGAAACACAGACCUACUUAAAGACAACAUAGGGUUACAUAAAGACAACAUAGAGCUGCAUAAAGUCAACAUAAAGCAACAUAAAGACAACAUAGUGCUACAAGACAACAUAGAGCUACAAGACAACAUAGAGCUACAUAAAGACAACACAGAAGUACAUAAACAACACAGCGCUGCAUAAAGACAACACAGAGCUACAUAAAGUCAACAUAGAGCAAAAUAAAGACAACAUAGAGCUACAAGACAACAUAGAGCUACAAGGCAACUUAGAGCUACAUAAAGACAACACAGAAGUACAUAAACACAGCGCUACAUAAACAACACAAUGCUGCAUAAAGACAACACAGAGC